rnacentral:rRNA from 1 species
AGCGAACGCUGGCGGCGUGCCUAACACAUGCAAGUCGAGCGCAGGCAUCUUAGGGGCAACCCUGGGGUGUGCUGAGCGGCGGACGAGUGAGUAAUACAUGGAUAACCUACCUCUAAGAUCGGGAUAACUUUGGGAAACCGGAGCUAAUACCGAAUAAGACCACGGUAUCUGCGGAUACUGGGGUAAAAGGUGGCCGGGUAACCGGCUGUCACUUAGAGAUGGGUCCAUGUCCCAUCAGGUAGUUGGUGAGGUAACGGCUCACCAAGCCUAAGACGGG